rnacentral:rRNA from 1 species
GGAUCAUUACCGAGUGCAGGUCUGCCCCCGGGCAGGCCUAACCUCCCACCCGUGAAUACCUGACCAACGUUGCUUCGGCGGUGCGCCCCCCCGGGGGUAGCCGCCGGAGACCACACCGAACCUCCUGUCUUUAGUGUUGUCUGAGCUUGAUAGCAAACCUAUUAAAACUUUCAACAAUGGAUCUCUUGGUUCCGGCAUCGAUGAAGAACGCAGCGAACUGCGAUAAGUAAUGUGAAUUGCAGAAUUCAGUGAAUCAUCGAGUCUUUGAACGCACAUUGCGCCCCCUGGCAUUCCGGGGGGCAUGCCUGUCCGAGCGUCAUUGCUGCCCUUCAAGCCCGGCUUGUGUGUUGGGUCGUCGUCCCCCCCGGGGGACGGGCCCGAAAGGCAGCGGCGGCACCGCGUCCGGUCCUCGAGCGUAUGGGGCUUUGUCACCCGCUCGAUUAGGGCCGGCCGGGCGCCAGCCGGCGUCUCCAACCUUCUAUUUUACCAGGUUGACCUCGGAUCAGGUAGGGAUACCCGCUGAACUUAAGCAUAUCAAUAA